GAAUUUUAUAUAAAAAUUAUUAGGGGUUUUAGUUUUUAGAAAUAAUUAGUUAUAUUUAAUUGGGAGGAUUAUUAAAUUAGAGUAACUUUAAUUAGAUUUUAAACAUAAAUAAAUGAAUUUAAGAAUGGUUAUUAAAUUAAGAAAGAAUUAAUUACCUCAGGGAUAACAGCGUAAUAUUUUUGGAGAGUUCAUAUUAAUAAAAAUGGUUGC
rnacentral:rRNA from 1 species